AUUGAACGCUGGCGGCAGGCCUAACACAUGCAAGUCGAACGAGUGGCGGACGGGUGAGUAAUGUCUGGGAACCUGCCUGAUGGAGGGGGAUAACUACUGGACACGGUAGCUAAUACCGCAUACCAUCAGAUGUGCCCAGAUGGGAUUAGCUUGUUGGUGGGGUAACGGCUCACCAAGGCGACGAUCCCUAGCUGGGCUGAGAGGAUGACCAGCCACACUGGAAUGUAGACACGGUCCAGACUCCUACGGGAGGCAGCGGUGGGGAACAUUGCACUAUGCGCGCAAGCCUGAUGCGGUCAUGCCGCGUGUAUGAAGAAGGCCUGCGGGUUGUAAAGUACUUUCAGCGGGGAGGCUUUACCCGCAGAAGAAGCACCGGCUAACUCCGUGCCAGCAGCCGCGGUAAUAC
rnacentral:rRNA from 1 species